rnacentral:lncRNA from 1 species
GUUAAACACCCUGGCUGAUCUUAUUGAAAAGGUGUUGUUAAUUGAUCAAAAAAAUCAAGUGGUCCUAAGGCAAAGUGGAACGGGUUCAGCAUCAAAAGUAUGGGGCAAUACGCGGGCUGGGCCUACAACAAGAACUAUGACCAUUGAGGCAAGGCAUACCAACGAUAAAAAAGGGGACAACUUUAGUACGAACAAUGUUGGGUGGCGGGGCAUGGGACAAAUUCCAAGCGGAGAGGGAGCCAAGAACCGUGGGGGGGAGUUCAAGAGCCUUACCAAUGCAGAAUUAAAAGAAAAAAGAGAAAAGGGUCUUUGCUUCCGUUGUGAUGAAGUUUACACUAGGGAUCAUCGGUGUAAGAACAAACAACUUCGUAUGAUUAUCUUAGAAGAAGAAGAAGAGGAGGAGACUGAAGAAAGGGAGCAGCCGCCGGGAACAUUAAAUUCUUUACAACUGUCUUUAUGUUCUAUGAAAGGGUUCACCACGAAUCGUUCAUGGAAGGUCACCGGAAGAAUAAUGGAUGCUUCCAUCAUUAUACUCAUCGACUGUGGGGCCUCCCACAAUUUCAUAGCUACGAAUAUGGUGCACAGGUUAGGGUUGGAAUUAGUUGACACCCCAACUUAUCGUGUGGAG